rnacentral:rRNA from 1 species
UGAGGAACAUGACUUUCGGUGGGGGAGUAGCCGGCCCAACGGCCGGGUAAUACCGCGUACGACCUCUUGGGGACAUCCCCGAUUGGUGAAAGCAGCAAUGCGCCGAAAGAGUGCCUCGCGGCCUAUCAGCUAGUUGGUGGGGUAAUGGCUCACCAAGGCAACGGACGGGUAGCUGGUCUGAGAGGAUGGCCAGCCACAGUUGGGACUGAGACACGGCCCAGACCUCCGUACGGGGAGG